rnacentral:rRNA from 1 species
GACGAACGCUGGCGGCGUGCCUAAUACAUGCAAGUCGAACGCAGUGGGGACGGGUGAGUAACACGUGGGUAACCUCCCAUCAGAGGGGAUAACACUUGGAAACAGGUGCUAAACCGAUACUGAUGGAUGGACCCGCGGUGCAUUAGCUAGUUGGUGUGGUAACGGCUCACCAAGGCCACGAUGCAUAGCCGACCUGAGAGGGGGUGGGGCCAGCUUGGGACGGAGGCACGGCCAAGACUCCUGGGGGAGGCAGCAGUAGGGAAUCUGCGGCAAUGGACGAAAGUCUGACCGGGCAACGCCGCGUGAGUGAAGAAGGGUUUCGGAUCGUAAAACUCUGUUGUGAGAGAAGCGGUAUCUAACCAGAAAGCCACGGCUAACUACGGGCCAGCAGCCGCGGUAAUAC